rnacentral:tRNA from 1 species
GGACUGUGGCUCAACGGUAGAGUGCUCUCCUAGCAUGGGCGGGACCCAGGUUCAAUUCUCAGCACCA